AGCAUCGGUCAAUUGCUAGUAAUUCUAGAGGAAAGUCCGCUCUAGCACAAGCUGCGAUGCUUGUAGUGUUCGUGCAGGGUCUAAUAAACCCUGACUUAGAUGACUAGUGCCACAGAGACGAGAAAUAUGAAACGCGGUAAACUCCACGAGCUAGAAACCCAAAUUAUGGUAGGGGAAUCGAAAACAUAUAACUGAAUAUGUUAUCGGAAUAUGCAAUUUGUAAAAUUGCAUGUUAGAUAAAUAAUUGACGCAACCUUUAUAAGGUUGAACAGAAAGCGGCUUAUAGAU
rfam:Mycoplasma agassizii strain ATCC 700616 genome assembly, contig: EI84DRAFT_scaffold00003.3